rnacentral:rRNA from 1 species
AUUGAACGCUGGCGGCAGGCCUAACACAUGCAAGUCGAGCGGAGCGGCGGACGGGAGAGUAAUGCCUAGGAAUCUGCAUGGUAGUGGGGGAUAAGGUCCGGACACGGGCGCUAAGAACGCAUAGUUUCAAUUGAGCCUAGGGUGGAUUAGCUAGUUGGUGGGGUAAAGGACUACCAAGGCGACGCGCCGUAACUGGUCUGAGAGGAGGCUCAGUCACACGGGAACUGAGAUACGGUCCAGACUCCUACGUGAGGCAGCAUGGGGGAAUAUUGGACAAUGGGCGAAAGCCUGAUCCAGCCAUGCCGCGUGUGUGAAGAAGGUCUUCGGAUUGUAAAGCACUUUAAGUUGGGAGGCGUUACCAACAGAAUAAGCACCGGCUAACUUCGUGCCAGCAGCCGCGGUAAUAC